AACGCUAGCUACAGGCUUAACACAUGCAAGUCGAGGGGCAUCGGGAAUCUAGCUUGCUAGAUUUGCCGGCGACCGGCGCACGGGUGAGUAACACGUAUCCAACCUGGCCCAUACUCGGGUAUAGCCUCUCGAAAGGGAGAUUAAUCCCCGAUGUUGUUGUUUCACCGCAUGGUGUAUCAACCAAAGAAUUUCGGUAUGGGAUGGGGAUGCGUUCCAUUAGCUUGUUGGCGGGGUAACGGCCCACCAAGGCGACGAUGGAUAGGGGUUCUGAGAGGAAGGUCCCCCACACUGGAACUGAGACACGGUACCAGACUCCUACGGGAGGCAGCAGUGAGGAAUAUUGGUCAAUGGUCGGGAAGACUGAACCAGCCAAGUAGCGUGAAGGAUGACUGCCCUAUGGGUUGUAAACUUCUUUUAUACGGGAAUAAAGUGCCUUACGUGUAGGGUUUUGUAUGUACCGUAUGAAUAAGCAUCGGCUAAUUCCGUGCCAGCAGCCGCGGUAAUACGGAAGAUGCGAGCGUUAUCCGGAUUUAUUGGGUUUAAAGGGAGCGUAGGCGGGUUUUUAAGCCAGCUGUGAAAGUUUGCGGCUCAACCGUAAAAUUGCAGUUGGAACUGGAGACCUUGAGUGUGCAUAAGGUGGAUGGAAUUCGUGGUGUAGCGGUGAAAUGCUUAGAUAUCACGAAGAACUCCGAUUG
rnacentral:rRNA from 1 species